UGAAUCUUCCACAAUGGACGAAAGUCUGAUGGAGCAACGCCGCGUGAGUGAUGAAGGGUUUCGGCUCGUAAAACUCUGUUGUUGGAGAAGAACAGGUGUCAGAGUAACUGUUGACAUCUUGACGGUAUCCAACCAGAAAGCCACGGCUAACUACGUGCCAGCAGCCGCGGUAAUACGUAGGUGGCAAGCGUUGUCCGGAUUUAUUGGGCGUAAAGCGAGCGCAGGCGGUUUUUUAGGUCUGAUGUGAAAGCCCGGAGCUCAACUCCGGAAUGGCAUUGGAAACUGGUUAACUUGAGUGCAGUAGAGGUAAGUGGAACUCCAUGUGUAGCGGUGGAAUGCGUAGAUAUAUGGAAGAACACCAGUGGCGAAGGCGGCUUACUGGACUGUAACUGACGUUGAGGCUCGAAAGUGUGGGUAGCAAACA
rnacentral:rRNA from 1 species